rnacentral:rRNA from 1 species
AGAGUUUGAUCCUGGCUCAGGAUGAACGCUAGCGGCAGGCCUAACACAUGCAAGUCGAGGGGCAUCACGAGGUAGCAAUACUUUGGUGGCGACCGGCGCACGGGUGCGUAACGCGUAUGUAACCUACCUAUAACAGGGGCAUAACACUGAGAAAUUGGUACUAAUUCCCCAUAAUAUUCGGAGAGGCAUCUCUCCGGGUUGAAAACUCCGGUGGUUAUAGAUGGACAUGCGUUGUAUUAGCUAGUUGGUGAGGUAACGGCUCACCAAGGCAACGAUACAUAGGGGGACUGAGAGGUUAACCCCCCACACUGGUACUGAGACACGGACCAGACUCCUACGGGAGGCAGCAGUGAGGAAUAUUGGUCAAUGGGCGGAAGCCUGAACCAGCCAAGUCGCGUGAGGGAAUAAGGCCCUAAGGGUCGUAAACCUCUUUUGCCGGGGAGCAAUGGUCGGCUUGCGAGCGGACAGGGAGAGUACCCGGAGAAAAAGCAUCGGCUAACUCCGUGCCAGCAGCCGCGGUAAUACGGAGGAUGCGAGCGUUAUCCGGAUUUAUUGGGUUUAAAGGGUGCGUAGGCGGAUUGUCAAGUCAGCGGUCAAAAGUCGGGGCUCAACCCCGUGAAGCCGUUGAAACUGGCGGUCUUGAGUGAGCGAGAAGCAGGCGGAAUGCGUGGUGUAGCGGUGAAAUGCAUAGAUAUCACGCAGAACCCCGAUUGCGAAGGCAGCCUGCCGGCGCUCAACUGACGCUGAGGCACGAAAGUGCGGGGAUCGAACAGGAUUAGAUACCCUGGUAGUCCGCACAGUAAACGAUGAAUGCUAGCUGUCCGGUGCGAAUGAGCGCUGGGUGGCACAGCGAAAGCGUUAAGCAUUCCACCUGGGGAGUACGCCGGCAACGGUGAAACUCAAAGGAAUUGACGGGGGC